rnacentral:rRNA from 1 species
AGUGAACGCUGGCGGUAGGCCUAACACAUGCAAGUCGAGCGACCGCACAGUAAGCUCUCUCCCUUACGGGUGGCGACUGACGGAUGAGUAACACAUACAUCACAAUCUUCUUUUUCUUGGGUAAUAACGUAGAGCCACUUCCGCUACUACCUCAUACGUCCUACGGCUGGAUUCAGUAGAUCUUGGUACCUUUCGCGACUCUAUUAGCCGGUCUGGCGUUGUAUUAGCUAGUUGGUAAGGUAACGGCUUACCAAGGCAACGAUACGUAGCUGACCUGAGAGGAUGAUCAGCCACACUGGAACUGAGACACGGUCCAGACUCCUACGGGAGGCAGCAGUGGGGAAUAUUGGACAAUGGGCGAAAGCCUGACCGAGCAAUACCGCGUGAGUGAAGAAGGUCUUCGGGUUGUAAAGCUCUGUUGUUGGGAAAGAAAAGAAGCAGAUGAAUACCCCGAUGUCCUGACGGUACCUAAAGAAUAAGCACCGGCUAACUUCGUG